ensembl:lncRNA PAXBP1-AS1 PAXBP1 antisense RNA 1
GGCACCCGCGGGCGGCCCCAGCCUCAGUCUCCAGCUACCUUUGCCUCCUGCGGCCGCCCCCAGGCAGAGCUGCGAUCCCACCGCCGGGGGUGCAGGGAGAGGGAAGAUCUGGCCUCCUUGGUCCUUUUGCGUGGGCUCUUCAGAGCGUGAGCGCCGGGGAGGGACUCCGGAGAAAAGCUUGGGGGGCUGCGUAUUGCUGCUCCCCAAGCUGGGCGUCAGGACCAACCCCGCCGCCCCCACGGGCCUGACGGGAGAGGAGGAAGGGCUCGGGACGGUCGGCUCGCCGAGCCAACCAGGUGGCGCCUGAAGAGCUGUCCAUGGUGUCGACAGCCCAGCAAACGGCACCGAGUUCCUAGUCUGAGUGUCUGGAUAGGUAGCAGAAGAAAAACUAAUGCCUGCUCUGGGACAGUUCUGUUCGGUGCCUUUUCUUGUGUGUUCUGGAGCUCACAGGGUUCUAUCGAAGAGUGCUUAGGUGUAUACGAUGGAGAGUGGGACGUCACAAACCAGGAUCUCAAGGCUGAGUCCAACAAAACAUGGCCGUAGGGAGGCCACGACAGCUGUGGUUGUCACCGACGGAUGAAUAGCUUUUGCCAACCGUGGAAUUUAGUAACUAAAGGCACCUAACCCUUUUAUCUCAUCCUCAUUUUUCAACAAAUGGUGCUUCCUGGCUAAUAUCAGCGUGUCCCAUAGAUUUCUGCUUCCAUUGAAUAGACCUAAUAAGAAAGAGAAUGAAGUCAAAGCCAACAGGGCAGAAAGAAAUUGAAAACCUGAAGAACCCAGCACUCAAACUGUCUCCACUUGCGUUUGCUUUUUCUUUACCUCUUCUCCUUCUGGUUUUCAACAGCCAAAGCAGGAUUUAAAUUUGGUUAUGUUGCAAAAAUCAUUUCCCUCUUCAGGCCCUGUCAUGUGACUUGAUUUUUUCGUCCAUUUUAGAGAAGCUGUACCCACCCUGGUUUCAGGACACGGAACUAAAUUUAUUAGAAAAGAAGCCACUUCAAGUCAUGAAGGAGAAACACAAAGAUUCUUGGAUUUAGUUCUAAGAACUAGAGGGGAUUUCUAUGUCAGUACUGUCUCAGAAAAAACUGUUGAUAUCAAAUGUGUUGCUUGAGAAGUACCUUUUUUUUUUUGAGACGGAGUCUCGCUCUGUCCGCCCAGGCUAGAGUGCAGUGGCGCGAUCUCGGCUCACUGCAAGCUCCGCCUCCCGGGUUCACGCCGUUCUCCUGCCUCAGCCUCCCGAGUAGCUGGGAUUACAGGUGCCCACCACCACGCCCGGCUAAUUUUUGUAUUUUUAGUAGAGACAGGGUUUCACCGUGUUAGCCAGGAUGGUCUCGAUCUCCUGACCUCGUGAUCCACCCGCCUCGGCCUCCCAAAGUGCUGGGAUAACAGGCGUGAGCCAUCGCGCCCGGCCGAGAGGUACCUUUUAUGACAACUGAAAUCAUUCAGUUUCAAGAGGAGUUGGGUACUGAAACCAAACUUGCUUACUCCAAAGCCCAAAAUCCUUUCCACCAUGCCUGUGUGUCUGUAAGGCUACACUAGAAAUGCUUCCUUUCUUAUAGUGGGAAGCAUGGGUACUAAGCUCUUUUACGAACAAGUGUUCUGCAUAUUCCUGGUUCCUUUUUAUUUUGGACUGAGGAGAUUUAGGUCAAAAUUUCUGGGUUCUGGGUUGGAAUUCCAGCUUCUUUCUUCAAAUUAAACUGGGGGGUAGCAAGACUUAUUCCUAGAUUUGUUAGAAGGCCACAGCUUUUCCACAUCUCAUUUUAGUCAUGAAAAAGACACAUGCCCAGAGUUUGAAAAACAUAAAGGCAAUUUGACUAGUGGCUUGAUUGGUUCUAUCUUCUUUUUCUUGUCCCUCUUUCCUAUUUAUACUUCUACUUUUGUUACAGCAUUUGACAAUAGUUGGAAAAAUUUUCACUGACCUUGAAAUGUCUUUGGGAUAGGGUGACUUAAAAUAUAGGUUAAGUGGCAUACACAAACUUCUUAGUGAGAUCCUAAGGGCCUACAGAGACAGGCUGACACCAACUCAACCCUUGAAACUGUGCAAUGAAGAGCCUGUGGGAGGCUAAAAAACGCUACUUCAAAAAGAGAUCCUUGUCUGUGAAUGUUAAUUUAGGUUUACAGAUUUGAUUAAGGGUCUUGAGAUUAUUUUCAAUUAUCCAGGUGGGCCCUAGAGCCCUAGAUGCAAUCAUAAGUGUCCUUAUAACAGGGAGGCAGAGGAAAAUUAAACACGCACACAGGAGAGAGAGAGAGAGAAAAAAAAGUGAUGUGAAGACAGCAGCAGAGAUUGGAGCGAUGUGGCCAUAGCCAAGCUAUGUCAGCAGCCAUCAGAAGUUGGAAGAGGCAAGGAAGGAUUUGAGCCUAGAGCCUUUGGAAGGAGCAUGGCCCUGUUGGUUCUGGCCUCCAGAACUGCAAGAAAAUACAUUUUUGUUGUUUUAAACCACCCAGUUCAUGGUAAUUUGUAACACCAGCUACAAGAAAUUAACACAAGGCUGAUGUGACUUUCCAUCAGGAGAGAGACAGCCCCAGCCACCCUGUGAAGACGUGCCUUUCGUCAAGAUUGUAAGUUUCCUGAGGCCUUCCCACCCAUGCGGAACUAGUUUUAUUUGAGAAAAUGCCAUACCACUGAAGAAAAUUGCCUAACAGCUGGAAAGAAGAAAAAAAAUAGGAAAAAAUCUUCCUGUGACUUCCUACAACUUUUGGGAUAAGGACCAAAGUAUUUCAAAUGACCUACAAGAUCCUCUAUCAUCUGGACUAUGGACUUACUUGCUCACUCCAGCUGUCCUAUGCUUUCUUCAGCGCCUCCAGUGUAGCCUGCUCUCUUUCACCUCAGGGCUAACUUCUAUUUUUUCUCCAGGUCGAAUGAUCUAAAUAUCACUUCCUCAGGGUGGAAGGAAAUCUUCUGGGACUAGCUAGUCAAGGUCUCUGUGCCCCUUGUCAUAUGUUCCACAUUACCUUGAAUGUCCCCUUUCAUAACUCAUCACACCUGAGAUUACCUAUUUGUUGUCAACUGUGCUGGACUGUGAACUCCACAAAGAUUCCACUUCUAGCUUACUCAGUGCUAUAUCCCCGAACCUCAGAAGAGUAUCUGCUACAGCAGUACUCCUUAUCUGUGGUUUCAGUCAGCUGUGGCACAGUACAAUAACAUAUUUUGAGAGAGAAACUACAUUCAUAUAACCUUUACCACAGUAUAUUAUUAAUAACUGUUCUAUUAUUAGUUAUUGUUAAUCUCUUACUGUGCCUAAUUUAUAAGUUAAACUUUAUCAUAGGUAUGUAUGUAGAGGAAAAAACAGUAUAUAUAGGGUUCGGUACUAUCUGUGGUUUCAGGUAGCCACUGGGCAUCUUAGAACAUAUACCCCAUGGAUACAGGGAGGACUACUGUAGUCUACUUGCUGAAAAAAUUAAUUGUGGCUUAGUCAGGCAUUUCGUUGAGUACGAUGGACCUUACUUUGGAACUCAGAAAUCACUUUCUCCUGUGAAAAUAUCAAACUUGAAUGAACUUUUGGAAUAAAAUACUUUGUAAAAUGGA